CCGAGCCACUGUUUGUCCAUAGGCUUUUAAAUGCAUCAAAUAGGGUUUAGAUCAAAAUUAGACUUUGAUUAUAACUUAAAGAAACCUCUCGAACCAUCCGAUCAAGAUUGUAACAUCCCACGACCGUCUAAUCAUGCAAUCACCUAUGAGAAAUGCCUCCGAAAUGCAUUCGAUCCAUGGUGGACCAUGCAAAAUCGGGUGGAAAAUGCCCGAUUGGUCCAUAAUGGUCUCC
rnacentral:lncRNA from 1 species